rnacentral:tRNA from 1 species
AGCAGCGUGGCUCAGUGGAAAGAGCCCGGGCUUGAGAGUCAGAGGACGUGGGUUCUAAUCCCAGCUCUGCCG